CACGACGACCUAUCUCCACCUCGAGCGCAUCUCCACGAUCCAGUGCGCCGCCGCGGCCGGCCCCCGCCCCUCUGCCGCGCGUCACCACCGCCGGCCACCUCCCCUCCGCCGUGCGCUGCCCCCCUCCACCGCCAUCAUCGGCCACCGCCCCUCCGUCGUGCUCCGCCCCACCCCUUCGGCUUCAGUGGAUCCGCACCGCCGCCGCCCUUCCUCUCCACCGUCACCCGUGCCUGCCCGCGCUCAUCCAUCGCCGCGUUAAGGCUUCAGUGACCACGGCGCCUCGGCUGCGACCCAGGCCUGCUUGGCCGCCGGAUGGAUGGAUACCGGCCGAGCUCGUCCUUGGCGCCCCGGCUGCGACCCAUGGUUGAUUGGCCGCCGGCUGGAAGGGGACGUCUCCUCCUGACUAAGCUUGAUGUGGGACUGACAGCCUGGUGUGUGCGGCCUGCGGACGGCAACGACGCAUCUUCUCUUAUCGUCCUCAUGCUCUCUGCCCUUAAUUUGUUAUCCUAUCUCUCUGAUUAUUGGCUACAUGCGCAGGUGUUUGAGGCAGGACCGCAUGAGCAGUGACUUGCAUCCAGUAGGAGGAAGCAAGAAGCAGCAACGACUCUGAGCUAGCUGCUAGCAAUGCACCCCCUCCCCUCUCAUCUCGGGAGCAUCAGGCAACAACCUGUUUGAUGUUAUGCAUACGACGGAUUGAGAUACAGUAUAAUUUUCAUGUCAAACUCUUACCUCUGUUUAGAAAAUCAAUAUGAAGAAACAGGUGUAUCUGAUGUACGAUCUGCACUUAAGAACAAGUGUACCAGUUGUUCCAAGCUGCCGGACGACCAAAGAGUCAGUGAGAGUCAACAAUCCAUUUGAUUUCGUGGGGAUUAUUCAGUAAAAUGCGAUCUACACUGAAGCCAAUCCGAUCCAGGUGAAACAGAGGUUGGUAGAUUAUUCCUGCAACGGGGCUUCUGCUUGUGCGGCUCUGCAUACCGAGCGUUCAAAGUAGGAAAACAGACUCGGCGUGGUGGCCGCUCCCCAUUUCCCUGCGUCGUCCAGAUUUGUUCCGGCUGGGUGCCACCCUGGCGGCCAAGAGUGUGCUAUCCCACGGAAGCAGGCCCCUCCUCUGUACUUUUACAACAUAUCCAGUUAUGGUUCCAUUGUUAUCGCACACCAAACGUUCAAUGAAUUUCUUCAAGAAAAUGAAUGGAUUAUUUUGUUGUGUGCUUCAACCAGGUAAAAUCCUAUUGGUUGUUCUAAUUAUACAAUCUUCUGAGCCAGUGAGCAGAAGUAAUUGCUGAUGUAAGUGUGGCAACUAAUUUUGUUUACAACUGUCAUUACUAAUUCUAUUAAAUCUGAAUUUCAUUGGUGAAGCACGGUUGGAAAAGAAAAGUCAUGGAUAAAGCUUGGUAAUUCCCAGUGAAGAGUUUCUGCUAAUCCAUCAGCUAAUGCUAAUAUAGACAGAUUCUAUGUAGUCAGGACUUGGUACUUGGACCUUCAUAAGAUGGCGCAAGGGGAGCUAUGGGGAUAGAUUGACAACAAUAUUUGCAAGCAGGAAAUUAAAGUACAAAAACUACUUCGUAUCGCCUUGGCUAUAAGAACGCCUGGACUCCCUCAGCCGAAACCCAUGUUCAAUUGCUUUCCAUGCCUGACAUUGUUGUCGCCGUUUUGCCGAUUUCGGCAGAAUCUCGUCGUUCGACUUCGCCAGAAUUCUGUCUGCCUGUUCUCCACCCAUGGUUGCAAUCACGACGAGCAACAAAUGUAUGCACUGAAUUACUGGAGUAAGGUAGUGAAAUACUUCUUGCUUGCGUGAGUGGAAUUUUCGAACAGAGGAAGAACAUACAACAGAGUGUAUGCACUACAGGAAUGGCACAAUAUUCUCAUGGCAGAAUGGGGAUGGGGCACUAUGUGACCCAACAACUGUUCUACCAGCAGGGUUGAUGGCAUUCUAUGGCAAUACCAAGAAUCCAAACAUCAUCCCCGAAGUGAUCCGUGGUGCUCAGUGAUACACUUCAAUGGAAACAUGAAGCCGUGGCUUGAUGUCGCUCUCAACCAGUACAGGGCUAUAUGGACUAAGCAUGUAGAGACUAGAAUGGAAUUCUUGACACUGUAACUUUGCUUUCUGAAGUAAUUUAAGAAAUCGUCCAAGAAUAAGUCAUCCGCCAAUAUAUUGAUUGUGGGAAAAUGAGUGAACUAUUAUUUUUAUCUGUUAUGGAUGAACAUAUGUGUA